AGUUGAUCCUACCAAUAGUCAUAUGCUUGUCUCAAAGAUUAAGCCAUGCAUGUGUAAGUAUGAACUAAUUCAGAUUGUGAAACUACGAAUGGCUCAUUAAAUCAGUUAUAGUUUGGUUGAUGGUAUCUUCUACUCGGAUAACCGUAGUAACUCUAGAGCUAAUACAUGCAACAUGAAGGGAUGCAUAUAUUAGAUAAAAGGUCAACUCGGCUGCCAAUUGCUGCAAUAAUUCAUGAUAACUCGACGGAUCGCACAACCCUCGUGCCGUCGACGCAUCAUUCAAAUUUUUGCCUAUCAACUUCCGAUAAUAGGAUAGUGGCCUAACAUGGUGGUGAUGGAUGAUGGAGAAUUAGGAUUCGACUCUAGAGAAAUAGCCUGAGAAAUGGCUAUCACAUCCAAGGAAUGCAGCAGGCGCGCAAAUUACCCAAUCCUAACAUGGGAAGGUAGUGACAAUAAGUAAUAAUAACGGACUCUUUGAGUCUUGUAUGGAAUAAAUACAAUCUAAAUCCCUUAACAAGGAUCCAUUGGAGGGCAAGUCUUGUGCCAAUAGCCACAAUAUUUACAGUUCCAAUAGUGUAUAUUUAAGUUGUUGCAAUUAAAAAGCUCUUAGUUGGACUUUGGGAUGGGUCGACCGGUCCGCCAAUCGGUGUGCACCGAUCAUCUCGUCCCUUUUGCUGGCAAUGCACUCCUGGUCUUAAUUGGCCAGGUCAUACCUCCGGCUCUGUUACUUUGAAGAAAUCAGAAUGUUUAAAGCAAGCCUACACUCUGUAUACACUAGCAUGGGAUAAGAAUAUAGGAUUUUGGUCCUAUUCUGUUGGCCUUUGGGAUCGGAGUAAUGAUUAAAAGGGUUGGGGGCAUUCUUAUUUCAUAGUCAGAGGUGAAAUUCUUGGAUUUAUGAAAGAUGAACAACUGUGAAAGCAUUUUCCAAAGAGGUUUUCAUUAAUCAAGAACGAAAGUUGGGGGCUCGAAGACGAUCAGGUACUGUCCUAGUCUCAACCAUGAACGAUGCCGGCCAGGGAUUGGCAGAUGUUGCUUUAAGGGCUCCGCCAGAACUUUAUGAGAAAUUUUUUGGGUUCUGGGGGGAGUAUGGUCGCAAGGCUGAAACUUAAAGGAAUUGAUGGAAGGGAACCUCCAGGAGUGGAGCCUGUAGCUUAAUUUGACUCAACACAGGAAAACUUACCAGGUCCAGAUAUAGUAAGGAUUGACAGAGUGAGAGCUCUUUCUUUUUUUUUUUUUGAUCUAAAUGUAAAUAUAUUAUAGAUCAAAGAGAAUUUAUAUUUAUUUGCGGGCAUACCCACGGCAAUCACAAGUCAAUAAGUAACAAUACACCCACAGGCAUACCCGUGGUCAAUCAAAGUAACAAGAAACAAAAUAUCAAGACAAAAUAUGGGGAUACGAGGCAUAAAUGACCUUGUAUACCUGUAUUUUGAUCUUUCUAACAAUAUGAUCUCUAUUCGGACUAUAAAGCUCGAAUGCUACUUUGUUUCUACAUUUCCAUAAAUAAUACAUCGUUGCCGCUAGGCAUAAUUUCUUCCAAGUGCACUUCCAAGAUGACCCUCGGCUUUCCUUCACUAGCCAUUUCAGGCUGCUUUGGAUUGUAGUCAUACUCCUUCGAAGUCUUGCCCAUUUGCUGAUGUCU
rnacentral:rRNA from 1 species